rnacentral:rRNA from 1 species
GACGAACGCUGGCGGCGUGCUUAACACAUGCCAGUCGAACGGAAAGGCCCUGCUUUUGUGGGGUGCUCGAGUGGCGAACGGGUGAGUAACACGUGAGUAACCUGCCCUUGACUUUGGGAUAACUUCUGGAAACUGGGGCUAAUACCGGAUAGGAGCUCCUGCUGCAUGGUGGGGGUUGGAAAGUUUCGGCGGUUGGGGAUGGACUCGCGGCUUAUCAGCUUGUUGGUGGGGUAGUGGCUUACCAAGGCUUUGACGGGUAGCCGGCCUGAGAGGGUGACCGGCCACAUUGGGACUGAGAUACGGCCCAGACUCCUACGGGAGGCAGCAGUGGGGAAUAUUGCACAAUGGGCGGAAGCCUGAUGCAGCAACGCCGCGUGCGGGAUGACGGCCUUCGGGUUGUAAACCGCCUUCGCCUGUGACGAAGCGUGAGUGACGGUAAUGGGUAAAGAAGCACCGGCUAACUACGUG